GGACAUGAGGGGAUCUGGCUGCGACAUCUGUCACCGAUUGAUCUCCAGGGCUAAUUUUGACCUGGUCAGCUAGAAGGGUGUUCUCUUCCUCCCUCACCACUCCGUGCGCGUCCCUCCCAGAGCCGUGCUCUUGGUUGAAGGGGACACCUGGACUCAAGCCACCUUCCCACUCCAGUUGCUGGGGUUGUAGGUGGGCACCACCACACCCAACAACAAAGUAACUAUUAACUAUGAAUUGUUAGCCUUGAGUAUACUAUAGCUGAGAAGUUGAUUGAUUCAUUUAAUUAGUGCUUUAUAUGAUUCAUU
rnacentral:snRNA from 1 species